AAUCCUAUCACUAUAACCAAACAGUGCGACCUUAAAGCGGCGCCGUUUCAUUCUAGGGCUUCAAUCUAUCUGUCUAUUAAAGCCAAACCUGGCCGCAAUCCUUUUACAUUCUAUAAAUCUUGCUUGCUUAGGGUUUUCAUUCUCAGAUUUGCUUUAAUUUUCCUUUUCCGUUUGAAAACAUUUCGAAGCGCUUUCCAUUUUUUUACUGUCUUUCUGCUCGAUUUGAUGAUGAAGAUGAUGAAAGGAAUGGACGGGAGGUGUGGCUACAGACCACGAAGGAAACUGGAUAGUAGGAUUUUCCAAUUCUUAUUUUGCUUAAUAAGGGUUUUAGGAAAAUCUCGAUUUUUUCUGAUAAUCUUGAAAUUGUUCAAGUUUGUUCGCACCGAAUUUGGAGGAUUUCAGGAUUACUGUCUUCAGAAGAGUUUAGCGUAUUAUGAGAGAAGGACAGUGGAAGAUUAAACAUACCCCAAGAAAUCGGAAUUUGGUGGUUGACCACAUUGCUAAGCUCAGCCUGAAUUGGAAAUCAAGUUUACAAGUUUUUGACGAGGCUCCUAAGGAAGUUAUUGAUCUUCUACCGGGAAGAUAAAGAACACAAUUGGUUUAUGUAGUUACUUAUGUUCCUUUUUCUUUUCAUCAAAAAAAAAUAUGUUUGCCUUUAUUCAUCAUACAA